GUGUGGGCAGAUGCUGCAUCUCCCUUGCCCUCUGUAGACGUAGCGCGCAAGGCAACGUCCCCGGGCUGUGUCAGAGAACUGAGAGAGACGUGCACAAGGCGAGGCAGAGACUGUAAGGCACCGGAGGCAACAUGGUAGCUGUAAGUAUUUCUUUUUUCUCAUGAAGAAAAUAUUUAAUUACAAAACCAGUGCAUUAAAUUAGCAGCAACAGAAGAACCUUGAAGGCUAUGUGGGGUUUGCCAAUCUCCCAAACCAGGUGUACAGGAAAUC